GGUGUCCCUGAUGUCCCCAAGGGUGUCCCCAGGGUGUCCCCAAGGGUGUCCCCAGGUGUCCCCAGGGUGUCCCCAGGUGUCCCCAAGGUGUCACUUGUAGAACUCGUGCUCCUGCUCGUCCUUCUUGAUGACGGUUUUGUACGCCUUCUCGAAAUCCUUGGCCAGCACGAUGUACCUGUUCUCCCUGACGGCCAGCAUGCCACCCU